AGCUUCCUACGGGAGGCAGCAGUAGGGAAUUUUCGUCAAUGGGCGCAAGCCUGAACGAGCGAUGCCGCGUGAACGAGGAAGGUCUUCGGAUCGUAAAGUUCUGUUGAAGGGGAAAAAGAGCGGAGAGAGGAAAUGGUCUCCGAUUGAUAUUACCCUUCGCGGAAGUCACGGCUAACUACGUGCCAGCAGCCGCGGUAAUACGUAGAGGGCGAGCGUUAUCCGGAAUGAUUGGGCGUAAAGCGUGCGUAGGC
rnacentral:rRNA from 1 species